GAUGAAGAACGUAGCGAAAUGCGAUAAGUAGUGUGAAUUGCAGAAUUCAGUGAAUCAUCGAAUCUUUGAACGCACAUUGCGCCCUUUGGUAUUCCUUAGGGCAUGCCUGUUCGAGCGUCAUUUGAAACCUCAAGCUCAGCUUGGUGUUGGGUGUCUGUCCCCGCCUCACCGCGGGGACUCGCCUCAAAUCAUUGGCGGCCGGUACGUUGGCUUCGAGCGCAGCAGAAACGCGAACUCGAGGCCCGGCGGAUCGGCGACCAGAAGUCACUUCUUCACAGUUUGACCUCGGAUCAGGUAGGGAUACCCGCUGAACUUAAGCAUAUCAAUAAGCGGAGGA
rnacentral:misc_RNA from 1 species